UACGUAGGGUGCAAGCGUUAAUCGGAAUUACUGGGCGUAAGCGUGCGCAGCGGUUUGUUAAGUUUGUCGUGAAAUCCCCGGGCUCACCUGGGAAUUGCGAUGAAGACUGCAAAGCUGGAGUCUGGCAGAGGGGGGUAGAAUUCCACGUGUAGCAGUGAAAUGCGUAGAGAUGUGGAGGAACACCGAUGGCGAAGGCAGCCCCCUGGGUCAAGACUGGAC
rnacentral:rRNA from 1 species